GUCAUGUGUAUGUCGGACACUUUAAAGAAUGAAUCUUGCAUCUCAACAAGAAAAAAAUGUUUCGUGAGGGUGACACCAUGGGAAAACCUUCACCGUGGCAACGCGCCGUCACGAUGUCGGCACGAGCUGGAGUAACGUUUAAACGUGAAUUAUCACGCGCGACGUGGAAGAGCGUUCCAUCGACAUUCGCCUAACUUGUGUCGGCUCGCAGCUACCGCAGCUAGCCACCGUGUCCUCCGCACACGAGCUACCGCCAGCUCCGUGUCUGACAACACGUUACACGACAACACAGACCUGUCGCUGGCGUCCUGGCUCCUCGCAGCUGCCGGGAGACAGACCCCGCUCGCAGUGAGUGCACCGCGGCUGCCCGGUCCUUCCUGAGUGGACAGCGGCUGGGCUGAGGGGGCGGGGCCUGGCCGGGCCCAGUUACCGUAAUAACCCGAGUAAACCGAGACAGCAUGUUAAUGUCCUUGUGUUUAUUCAUGGGAGAUGCCACACCGUCCUGCAACAGGCCCAAACAUGGUGCAUUAGGGUCCAUCUGAAAUUCACUGGACUGUGUGACCGCGUUUACCCCUCUGGACUCAAAACCAUCAACCCCAGUCAGAGAUUGUGUAUAUUGUAUGAAAUGUUUCUAACACAGACGAGAGUUGGGACCUAUAUUUGUCAAUUAUUUCAGUAAAGUCUUAUCAUUGUACUCUGCUGGUCUGUAAAGGUAGGGGCCUGUCGACAGUGCUGGGGUACUUGAUGUGAUCUGGCAUAUUUACAGAAAUCAGUGAUGCAAUCUGAUUGUUGAAAUUGCUGCCGUAAUGCUCGCAGAGAGCAUCCAAUUGCAUAAUUAAUGUUGUGCUGUAUCUGAGCUUUACAAGACAUGUACACGCAUCAUGUACACACACACACACACAUACACACACACACACACAAACAGUUACAUAACCUGGCACUGCACUGCAGUAGUUGGGCAGACAGAGAGCAGCACUACAGGCCCGGUGCUCAGGCCACUGACAAGAGGCCACUGUUACGUCACCCACUGACAGAGAUGAGGAACUUACAGACAUUCAGCUGAACAUGGAUUGAUCAUUCUUAUACUCUCUGUAAGUAAAUUCAAGGAAAAAAAUUCAGUCAUAACUCUCCAUUGCCAUUUGUCGGUACAGUGCAGGAUAGUUACCAAAACUUUACUC
rnacentral:lncRNA from 1 species